rnacentral:piRNA from 1 species
UACAGCAAAUUUUCUGAAGAG